GGAGCUCGAGCGGGCCGAUCGCCUUGACCUUCCUGGACGCGACGUAGCCUGCGUCCAGGAAGGCCAAGUCUAAGCUGUUGCAACAGCUUUGUAAGACCUCCUCGCUCGCGUCGGAGCUCAGCUCCCAGAAAAUCACGUAGUGGCCCGGGUCCGACGAGCGGUCCACCAGGCUCGUGAAGUCCACAACCUCAACCUUCUCUGCGGCCAAGUGCUUCAAAGCGGCCUCCACUGCCAGCUGGAGGUCUUUCUCGGUGUUCUUGUCGAUGUUGAUGGUUAGCAGGAGGCUUCUCCGGCACAAGAACUGCAGCUCCGGAGUG
rnacentral:lncRNA from 1 species